rnacentral:misc_RNA from 1 species
GAUGAAGAACGCAGCAAAAUGCGAUAAGUAAUGUGAAUUGCAGAAUUCAGUGAAUCAUCGAAUCUUUGAACGCACAUUGCGCCCGCUGGUAUUCCGGCGGGCAUGACUGUUCGAGCGUCAUUUCAACCCUCAAGCCCCCGGGUUUGGUGUUGGGGAUCGGCUCUGCCCUUCUGGGCGGUGCCGCCCCCGAAAUACAUUGGCGGUCUCGCUGCAGCCUCCAUUGCGUAGUAGCUAACACCUCGCAACUGGAACGCGGCGCGGCCAUGCCGUAAAACCCCAACUUCUGAAUGUUGACCUCGGAUCAGGUAGGAAUACCCGCUGAACUUAAGCAUAUCAAUAAGCGGAGGA